AUGGUGCAUGUGAACGUCCUGGCCAGUGUUCUCAAUAGCAUCAACAUGCUGAGAAGAGAAGCAAAUACCAGGUUGUUUUAGGUUGUGUUCCAAAAUCAUCAUCUAGUUUCUAAGUGUGAUGAUGAAGUUUAGUUUACAUCAGUGAAUUUGCAAUCAUCAAUAAUCACAGAGCUAGAAAAAUCACUGUGGACCUCACAGGCAGGUUAAACAAGUGUACAGUGACAAGCCCCAGUUUGAUGUGCAACUCAAAGAUCUAGAAAAAUGGUACCCCUAUCCCCUUUGGUUUCAUUGUCCUGACAACCUCAGCUGGUAUCAGGGAUUGCAAGGAAGCAAGACAAAAAUACACAGGAGGGAAAAUCCUGGGAUUGUUUUUC
rnacentral:lncRNA from 1 species